AGAGAGAGACAUGCGCGCAUAUCAAUAAGCGGAGGAAAAGAAACUAACAAGGAUUCCCCUAGUAACGGCGAGUGAAGCGGGAAGAGCUCAAAUUUGAAAUCUUAAAGGGUUUCCCUUUACGAAUUGUAGUUUAAAGAAGUGUUUUCUGUUGAGGUUUUGGUAAAAGUUCUUUGGAAUAGGACAUCAUAGAGGGUGAGAAUCCCGUAUUUGACCUUUACUUUCAACUUUGUGAUACACUUUCAAAGAGUCGGAUUGUUUGGGAAUGCAGUCCAAAAUGGGUGGUAAAUUUCAUCUAAAGCUAAAUAUUGGCGAGAGACCGAUAGCGAACAAGUACCGUGAGGGAAAGAUGAAAAGAACUUUGAAAAGAGAGUUAAACAGUACGUGAAAUUGUCAAAGGGAAGCGUUUGACACCAGUGUUGUUUUUCUGAAAAUCAAUUAAAGAACUGUUUAUGCUAAGCUGUUUAGACUUUAUCAGCUAUCUGUUUAGUUUUGAGCUUUUCUUUAAUGCACUUUUCAGUUAACAAGUCAACAUCAAUUCUUUUGCUGUAAAAAAGCUUGAGGAAGGUGGCUUGAGAUUCGUCUUAAGUGUUUAUAGCCUCUUGCCUAUGCAGUCGGAGAGAUUGAGGUCUGCAGCGUAGAUCCUUCGGGGCUAAAUGCAUUUGUGCUAAGUUAUAGCAUUUUAUAGACAACUUGUUGACUAUGAUUUGUCUUGUAGCUUACUCGCUUAUGUUAUUUUACCUACGCUUAGGAUGUUGACGCAUGAGAUAUACGC
rnacentral:rRNA from 1 species